rnacentral:rRNA from 1 species
CACGUAGUUAGCCGUCCCUUUCUGGUUAGAUACCGUCACACGAGGAGCUUUCCACUCUCCUCGUCGUUCUUCUCUAACAACAGAGUUUUACGAUCCGAAAACCUUCUUCACUCACGCGGCGUUGCUCGGUCAGACUGUCGUCCAUUGCCGAAGAUUCCCUACUGCUGCCUCCCGUAGGAGUUUGGGCCGUGUCUCAGUCCCAAUGUGGCCGAUCACCCUCUCAGGUCGGCUAUGUAUCAUCGCCUUGGUGAGCCUUUACCUCACCAACUAGCUAAUACAACGCGGGAUCAUCUUUGAGUGAUGCAAUUGCAUCUUUACAAACUUAAAACUUAUAGUUUAAAGCUUAAUUAUGACGGUUAUUAGCAAUUUCGUUUACCAAAAUUCGUUCGUCCCCCGACUUCCAAAAGGCAGAAUUCCCCCAAGCGUUACUCACCCGUUCGCUGCUCAUCCAAUCGUACAGUACCAAUCUUCAGCGCUCAAUUGCAUGUAUUAGGCACGCCGCCAGCGUU